AUUGAACGCUGGCGGCAUGCCUUACACAUGCAAGUCGAACGGUAACGGGCCUUCGGGCGCCGACGAGUGGCGAACGGGGGAGUAAUGCAUCGGAACGUACCUUUCAGUGGGGGAUAACGUAGCGAAAGUUACGCUAAUACCGCAUAUUCUGUGAGCAGGAAAGCAGGGGAUCGCAAGACCUUGCGCUGAUUGAGCGGCCGAUGUCAGAUUAGCUAGUUGGUGAGGUAAAGGCUCACCAAGGCGACGAUCUGUAGCGGGGCUGAGAGGAUGAUCCGCCAAACUGGAACUGAGACACGGUCCAGACGCCUACGGGAGGCAGCAGUGGGGAAUUUUGGACAAUGGGGGCAACCCUGAUCCAGCCAUGCCGCGUGAGUGAAGAAGGCCUUCGGGUUGUAAAGCUCUUUCGGCCGGGAAGAAGUCGUAUGGGCUAAUACCCUGUGCGGAUGACGGUACCGGCAUAAGAAGCACCGGCUAACUACGUGCCAGCAGCCGCAGUAAGAC
rnacentral:rRNA from 1 species